rnacentral:rRNA from 1 species
AGAGUUUGAUCCUGGCUCAGAUUGAACGCUGGCGGCAUGCUUUACACAUGCAAGUCGAACGGCAGCACGGGGGCAACCCUGGUGGCGAGUGGCGAACGGGUGAGGAAUGCACCGGAACGUAUCUUCAAGUGGGGGAUAACGCAUCGAAAGGUGUGCUAAUACCGCAUAAUCUCUGAGGAGAAAAGCAGGGGAUCGCAAGACCUUGCGCUUUUGGAGCGGCCGAUGCCUGAUUAGCUUGUUGGUGAGGUAAAAGCUCACCAAGGCUCCGAUCAGUAGCUGGUCUGAGAGGACGACCAGCCACACUGGGACUGAGACACGGCCCAGACUCCUACGGGAGGCAGCAGUGGGGAAUUUUGGACAAUGGGGGCAACCCUGAUCCAGCCAUGCCGCGUGAGUGAAGAAGGCCUUCGGGUUGUAAAGCUCUUUCAGCCGGAACGAAACGGUCACGGUCAAUACCCGUGACUACUGACGGUACCGGAAGAAGAAGCACCGGCUAACUACGUGCCAGCAGCCGCGGUAAUACGUAGGGUGCGAGCGUUAAUCGGAAUUACUGGGCGUAAAGCGUGCGCAGGCGGUUUUGUAAGUCAGAUGUGAAAUCCCCGGGCUUAACCUGGGAACUGCGUUUGAAACUGCAAGGCUAGAGUGUGGCAGAGGGGGGUGGAAUUCCGCGUGUAGCAGUGAAAUGCGUAGAGAUGUGGA